UACGUAGGCAGCGAGCGUUGUUCGGAGUUACUGGGCGUAAAGGGUGUGUAGGCGGUUCUUUAAGUUUGGUGUGAAAUCUCCCGGCUCAACCGGGAGGGUGCGCCGAAUACUGAGGAACUAGAGUACGGGAGAGGAAAGUGGAAUUCCUGGUGUAGCGGUGAAAUGCGUAGAUAUCAGGAGGAACACCGGUGGUGUAGACGGCUUUCUAGACCGUAACUGACGCUGAGACACGAAAGCGUGGGUAGCAAACAGG
rnacentral:rRNA from 1 species